AUACGGAGGGUGCAAGCGUUACUCGGAAUCACUGGGCGUAAAGCGCGCGCAGGCGGUCUGAUAAGUUGGAUGUGAGAGCCUACGGCUCAACCGUAGAACUGCAUCCAAAACUGUCAGUCUAGAGUGUGGGAGAGGAAGAUGGAAUUAGUUGUGUAGGGGUAAAAUCCGUAGAGAUAACUAGGAAUACCAAAAGCGAAGGCAAUCUUCUGGAACACUACUGACGCUGAGGCGCGAAGGCGUGGGGAGCAAACAGGAUUAGAUACCCUAGUAGUCC
rnacentral:rRNA from 1 species